AGACGCAGUUAUCUUCAGUCUAUCAAGCACUUGUGCAGCCAGACGCAUGUCUGCUAGAUUUUGAACAGUGCAGCCGGGCCGCAUAAACAGCAGUAAGGGCUUUUGGUGUAAACAAGUUGUCUCGCAGAGCAUCUCAGAAAACUGCUUCUCCAAGUUUAAGAUCAGGGAGAGAGGAACAGAGACGGGCGAUAGUCACAGGGGAUUGCCAUAGUCUGGCAUUUACUAAGCAAUUUAAGUAGGGCAACAUAGAUAAAAACAGCAGACAGCUUCAGUGACUCUUUUAAAGCAUUUUUUUUGAAGAGAAUGAUAUAAGGAGGAAACAUUUUCCUGAAGGGACACAAGCUCUGUCAAAGUGGAAGUCUUGCUGAGCUGGUUAACCAGCCAAGGGUCCGCUCUGCUCUUCAUGAUGCUGCCAGACAAGGAGGACUGCUGGCUCUCAAGACCCUCAUUGCACAGAUAGUUUCUCAUUUAAAUGACCUUAAGUUGAACUUUAAUAUAAGAAAUAAGUAAUUAUAUUAAUACGUGUAGUACUUAUAUCUUGUAGUCACAUGCACUCUACCGGAUAGGUAAUGUAAUACACAUUUGAUGUAGAGGUGAAUAGCGUAAGCUGUCAUGCACGAUAGUGAAAGGCAUUGCUGCCACCAUCUGGAAUAAAAGAAUCCUACACAUUCGAAUGCAAUAUUCAUUUCUCUUAAACUGUCCUCAGGGCCCCAGCAUGAAUGUGCGGACAAUAGACCACGUUAGCCCUCUUCAUGACGUGUACAUAGAGAGCCAUGUUGCCUGUUCCAGAGCACUGAUAGAUGCUGGAGCCAGCGUCUCUGCAGGGAUGAUUGGUUAAUGUGACAACUGAAGAUGGAGUGUCUCCAUUGCUUAAUUCCAGCUCAGCCGGCCGUUUAGGAUGUCUAGACACUGUGCAAGUAGAUAAACAAACAGCAGUUUUAUGGCAAUCAGUUUAAAACAACCAGCCUAUAAUUAAAGUGCAAAUGUGCAGAGAGGCACACAUUUAGAGAGUCCUCUUCAUGCAGAAGCCCAGAAAGACUGAAUAAGCAUAGUGAAGCUCCUGCUGGAAUUUGGGGCAGAUGUAAAUGCACGCAACCUGGAGUAUAAGCGGUCCAUGGAGGAUGCUCCUCCAGGGAGCCUUACCGAUGGAUUUCCUAUUGAUUUAUGAAGUGACACCCGUUAUCUGUGUCAACUGUGCCGUCAGCAAAUCAGGGAGAGUUUGGGAUGUUCCCGACUCUACCACAUUAGCCCCUCCCUAAAGCCAUGAAGAACUUUCUACAAUAUAGAUAAUGUUCUUAUGUUUGCUUGGUUUUACUGUACUAAUGACUUACUUUGACUUAUAGCCUAAAUAAUAAAAGCUGUUUUUACCUUU